rnacentral:rRNA from 1 species
UACAGAGGUCCCGAGCGUUGUUCGGAUUCAUUGGGCGUAAAGGGUGCGUAGGUGGCGCUGUAAGUGGGGUGUGAAAUCCCGGGGCUUAACUCCGGAACUGCAUUCCAUACUGCGAUGCUUGAGGACUGGAGAGGAGACUGGAAUUUACGGUGUAGCAGUGAAAUGCGUAGAGAUCGUAAGGAAGACCAGUGGCGAAGGCGGGUCUCUGGACAGUUCCUGACACUGAGGCACGAAGGCCAGGGGAGCAAACGGG